rnacentral:rRNA from 1 species
UAUCAGAAGUGACAAUGCUGGUAUGAGUAGCGCAAAAUCCAAUAGAAAUUUGGAUCGCCAAAAGUUCAAGGUUUCUCCUUAUACAAUCAAUGAUUAAGGGAAGAGCAGGUCCCUAAAAAGGUUAUUGAAAAAUGACUUUGAUGGGUUGGGCAAGAUAAUAGGAAGAUAUACGCCGCCACAGGCGCCUUUGGCGCCACAGGCGCCUUUGGCGGUGAAACCGCCUUUGGCGCCACAGGCGGCGGCUUCGCCAACUUCCUCAGGAAAAUUCUUAGCACCAUCAAGGCCAAGCUCCGCCGAGCGCAGCGCAUCGCUAAUGCUAAAGGCGGCUUUCCUUGUAUAUACCGUACUUAUAACCGACACAGGUGAAUGGGUUUUCUAAACUCAGGCGAUUGAGAAAACAAUCUUGAAGGAACUCGGCAAAUUCAACCCGUAACUUAGGAAGAAGGGUUGUUCCACAGAACUUCAUGAAUAGGAAGCAACGACAGUUUAGUAAAAACUCGAGACUUU